AUCCAGUGAGUUGUAUGUUUGUGCCACGUGUCUGUGCUACUGAUCAUUAGUGAUGGGUUUGAGGAACUGAGGAG